rnacentral:sRNA from 1 species
GCCCCAGGAGGAAGGGGGACUGUUAGCAGCAUAGGAUUGAGGAGUUGGAAGAGACCUUUAGAACAGCUGGUCAUUAUGCCGACCGGGUGCCUGCACUAAGUUCGGCAUCAGUGUGUUGACCUCCUGUGAGCAGGGGGCCACCAAGUUGCCUAAGGAUGGCUGAACUGGCCCAGGUCAGAAAGAGAGCAGGUCAGAACUCCCA